rnacentral:rRNA from 1 species
UACGUAGGGUGCAAGCGUUAAUCGGAAUUACUGGGCGUAAAGCGUGCGCAGGCGGUUUUGUAAGUCUGUUGUGAAAUCCCCGGGCUUAACCUGGGAACUGCAUUUGGGACUGGAAGGCUAGAGUAUGGCAGAGGGGGUGGAAUUCCACGUGUAGCAGUGAAAUGCGUAGAGAUGUGGAGGAACACCGAUGGCGAAGGCAGCCCCCUGGGCCUAUACUGACGCUCAUGCACGAAAGCGUGGGGAGCAAACAGG